rnacentral:rRNA from 1 species
ACGAACGCUGGCGGCGUGCCUAAUACAUGCAAGUAGAACGCUGAAGGAGGAGCUUGCUCUUCUGGAUGAGUUGCGAACGGGUGAGUAACGCGUAGGUAACCUGCCUGGUAGCGGGGGAUAACUAUUGGAAACGAUAGCUAAUACCGCAUAACAGUAGAUGUUGCAUGACAUUUGCUUAAAAGGUGCAAUUGCACCACUACCAGAUGGACCUGCGUUGUAUUAGCUAGUUGGUGGGGUAACGGCUCACCAAGGCGACGAUACAUAGCCGACCUGAGAGGGUGAUCGGCCACACUGGGACUGAGACACGGCCCAGACUACUACGGGAGGCAGCAGUAGGGAAUCUUCGGCAAUGGACGGAAGUCUGACCGAGCAACGCCGCGUGAGUGAAGAAGGUUUUCGGAUCGUAAAGCUCUGUUGUAAGAGAAGAACGAGUGUGAGAGUGGAAAGUUCACACUGUGACGGUAUCUUACCAGAAAGGGACGGCUAACUACGUG